AGGACGAACGCUGGCGGCGUGCUUCACACAUGCAAGUCGAGCGGAAAGGCCCUUUGGGGUACUCGAGCGGCGAACGGGUGAGUAACACGUGAGCAAUCUGCCCUUAGCUCUGGGAUAGCUCCGGGAAACCGGAAUUAAUACUGGAUAUGAUCAUGGCCGGCAUGGGCUGUGGUGGAAAGUUUUUCGGCUAGGGAUGAGCUCGCGGCCUAUCAGCUUGUUGGUGGGGUAAUGGCCUACCAAGGCGACGACGGGUA
rnacentral:rRNA from 1 species